CCUACGGGUGGCAGCAGUGAGGAAUAUUGGUCAAUGGCCGGAAGGCUGAACCAGCCAUGCCGCGUGAAGGUCAGUGCCCUUUGGGCGUUAAACUUCUUUUGUGCGGGAGCAAUAAUGGUCACGUGUGGCCAGACGAGAGUACCGUACGAAUAAGCAUCGGCUAACUCCGUGCCAGCAGCCGCGGGAAUACGGGGGAUGCAAGCGUUAUCCGGAUUUAUUGGGGUUAAGGGGUGCGUAGGCUGUGAGUUAAGUCGUCGGUGAAAUGCCCCGGCUCAACGGGGUGAAGUGCCAUUGAUACUGCCUUGCUGGAAUGCGGAUGCGGUGGGAGGAAUGUGUGGUGUAGCGGUGAAAUGCAUAGAUAUCACACAGAACACCGAUUGCGAAGGCAUCUCACGAAUCCGCGAUUGACGCUGAUGCACGAAAGCGUGGGUAUCAAACAGGAUUAGAUACCCGAGUAGUC
rnacentral:rRNA from 1 species